rnacentral:pre_miRNA from 1 species
UUUUCUUCCUUGGCACAGCUCUGUGACAGUGGAACAUAGCUGGCUGGCGAAGAAAUGC